rnacentral:misc_RNA from 1 species
ACGUUCGCGCCAUUAAAGCAGGCGAGGCUAUCGAGAAAGAAACAAGGGCAGCCUGUGCACAUCUUGACCCCUUAGCGGGCGCGUAUGUGUGUGUGUGUGUGCAUAGAAAGAAAGACACACACACACACAAACCAGCACUCAGGUGCACGUGCGCGACGUGCUCGCUGGUAUUACCGCUCUUUUCUGUCACGCCGUGCUUCCCUCAUGGGCGUGCGCGUGGCGGCGUUUUCCCUCCCCCUUCUCUGUUGUUUGUUUGCGUGCCUCCUCGCUGGCAUCACGUAGAGAAAUAGGGCACCGCUUUAGACCCCUCCCCUCCCUCCCUCCCUCCCUCCCCCUAUUUGCUGGCUCUGUCGCCUUCGUCUGUGGUCAGGGACGGUGUGCGUCAAUCGCAAGGCAAACCUCCCCCUCCCCCCGCCUCACCGCCCUCCCUCCGCGUCGUCCAAAGCACGCACGCUCAGCGGCUCGCACAUAUGCCGUUUCUCUCUUCAGCCUUCUAGACGCUACUUGCUCGCUCCCUCACGUCCUUUCCGCGCGGAGAUGCAUUCUGCGAUUCGUUUUUCAGGUUCAAGCUCGCGGAGUAUGAGCUCCUCGAUGGAGGUCGCCUCCGCUGCUGCUGAGCCGCCGCUGAGUGUGUCGUCCAUCCCUCGCAGACGUAGUGCUGACCAGGACGAUGCCCUAAGUCUGCUGGAGCCGGCUGCCCGGCUGCCGACGUCCACCACCUCGAAGGUUUCUGCCCUUUCCCAGCGCAGUCUUCGCAGCGGCUCCCAUCCGUCGGCCGCCGUAGAUGGCGAUGACCCCGGCGCCGCUCCCACUGCGUCGUCUUCCUACACAUGCAAAGGUGAUAAUGCGGACGCGCUUCUUCACCAACCGCCCGGCAACCCGCAGACGAGGGUGCCGUCUUCGUUCGCCGCCACCGUCGAUACGCGUGCCUCUGAAGCGAGCAUUCAUAGUGCACGCGGCAGGUCAGGCAGCAGCCGGCGAGACAACCUGGGCCCCGUUGCACCACAGUCACGAGCUGCCACCCAGCCACCGCACACGCACCCGGGGCGUGUUUUCGCGAACCUUCCAUGGAUACCACCGCCGCCAAUCUACGGCACGCCGUUACCGGACAGCAGCAACAUGAACCGCCACUAUGCCCACUACUACGACCCUACGGAGGCAACGCUGCGAGCUCCCUUCUGCUACCCGGAUGAUGUGCCGCUGCGUGCGCAGGGGCACCACAGCGACGUGUCGGGCACGGAGUGGCCAAAGCCGAGUGAUCUGCCUCUUCCUUCCACGUUUCCAAUGCCGCCGCACGUGCUGCCGCAGCUAUCGCUGCCAGUGGUGUCUGCGUCAGCAGCUGAGGCUGCAGCACGAGGCAUGGUAGCGGCGCCGCACGUUUGGGCAAUACCACCACCGCUUCUAUACCCCCCGCCACCUCCGCCGCCGUGGUGGUUUUAUGGGACACCCCCACUUCCUCUCCCUGCGUCCUCGUCCGACACUUCUGCGAGCAGCGCUGGAAGCAGCAGACAUGCAUCAUCGUCGUCACGUGCGUCGGCAAGGCCAACCACGCAGCCUUCACGGCAUCCGCCGGCAAAUGCUGCGCGCCCGCAUGCAGAGGCAGCAGCUCCGUCGCGGCACGGUGUGGCGGUCCCCGCAGGUUCUGUGGAGACACCAGUCGCAGUCGCAUCGCGGGGUGACGCCGGUGGUUCUCACGCCGCAAAGCAACGCUCCGUUGCCUCGUCGGGCUCUCGCUACGCUGCGGGCCACACUGUCGGCACCGGUAGAGCGGCACGGCGGUCGGUGGGCUCGUUCUCUGCCUCGGGCGCGACCUCCCCUAGGAGCGCCACAACGACAACAGCGCACUCUGAUCCACCGCAAGGGGUAGAGCGUCGCGUUUAUGCGUCGAGUGGCAGCGGGAGCAGUGACAUACAACGAUGUGCGAAGGGGCAGACCGUGCAAGUUGCGCCUCGGCGCACGAACGCGGCGCACUGUGUUCAACCUGACCAGCUUCAAGUAUAUGGCGAAGAUGUCGUGCAAGAGAGAGAUUGCAGCAGCGUGACCGCUCGCAUGAAGCGCGCCGUGAGUGCUGCCGAAGCGUAUGUGGAGAAAAUGGAGCACCUUUACCGCCGGUUGCGGAGCCGCUACGAGGAGGUGGUCAUGUCACCAGGAAAGGUGGCGAGGUAUGGAGGCAACAUCACCGCAGACGAGGGGGCCGAGGAGAAGCGGCACCGACGCACUGCGCCCCCGGCAACGACUAGGGCGACGAGAGCUCCGCCGGAGAAGGGGCUGCUGCAUCCGCUGGAGCGAGCGUUUUCGCGGCAGACUCACCUGCAACCAACCGCACCCAUGCCACAUGCCAAGCGACCUGUGUCCCCUGCCUUGUCAGCUGCACAUUCGUCGGCCGUCGAGCCAUCGCCACCGCUGUCGUCGUCAUCGUCUGCGACCUCCGCUACGUCACUGAGGCGCGAACUGCACCUCUUAGAGUCGCAGUGGCAGCGGCUGGAAGAGCUAAAGCGGCACGGAAGCGGUGGCACGGCGGCGGCCGUUGCACAGCCCGCUGCGCCGUCGCCAUCAACGGCAACGGCGACAGUGAACGAAGAUCCUUUCACAAAUCGCCGUUUCUUGCAGCUUAUAAAGGAUCGCAAGCACCUCUUGAUGUCGGCAGCGUAGGAUUUCACCGAGUGGCGGGGAUGUUGGGGUGAGGUGAGUGGGGCUGGCCAAGGGCUGGCUAAGAACGUGCGCAGGCGCAGCUGUGUGAGCUCACCGAUCGCUUCCUCUGUUCGCACCCUCUCUCGCCUUCUCUCUUCUUUCUCCCCCCUUUUCGCCUCUAGGGCACGCCUGCCCCAUGUUGCUGAAGGAACGAAAGAAGUCGCGCGCGCGCCCAUAGGCGAACGCAAGCGGAACGUGCCGGAUGCACAGACGCUUUUCCUCAUGCGUGUUGAGCUCAACCUCCCGAUU